CACUCCCUCGUCUCAUCGACGGCCAACCGGCGUACAUGGUGAGACGCCUCCUGAGGGUUCGACCUUUGGGCAGAGGAUUCCAGUACCUGGUUGACUUGGAGCGUUAUGGCCCGGAGGAGAGGUGCUGGGUUGCCGCUAGGGACAUCCUGGACCCAGGCCUCAUCUUUGAGUUCCGGCACCCCGCUUAACCAGCUAAGUCCCCUUUGGUUCCUUGAUGAAGAGGUGAUGACCACUACCAUUGUCAACUCUCUUCUGACAUGAACUGAAGUCUCAUGUUCCCUCUCAUCCACUGGCACAUUGAAUGUUUCCUCUCCAAGCACUUCAAAUCCUGUCCUGUCCUGAAGUCAUUCCUCUGAACCUCUGAUUUUUGAAACUCACUUUGACAUCUUCGUGCGUUCCGGGCCUAUACCGUGGGUCUCCCAUCCUCCUCAAUUUUUCAAGUCGCCAGCCUCCACUGAGAUACACAUUUGUGAUCUAUGAUUUAAUAGUCUUGUACCUGCAUUCUCUGUCUUCAGAUCCUCCACCUCCCUCUCACUGGUCUCUAUGGUCCUCAGCUCCACCACCAUGUCUCUCAGCUCAUCCCAGAUAUCAGCAGUGGUCUGGCCGCUCGUCUGUUCGUGGAUCGUCUCUGUAGCUUCAGUCCAUUGGAUAUCGAUCAAACUCUUUCUGCCCCCUCCACUCUCUCCCUGAGCCCAUGUUCCGGACAAACAGAACAGCAACACCAGCAGAAAUACAGCACCCCUCAUUCUGAAAUGGCACCUCUUCAGAAAUGAUGUAUGAGGUUCUGUCCCCUUCUUUAUACACGUACAAUGGUAGUGAGACAAUGCAUGAGAAAUGGAAUAUGUACUUAUGAAGUAAUAUGUACCAAAAAAAUCUGGGAUACGGAUAAUAUCACGACUCAGGAUAUGACCCAGAUGCAGACACAGGAUGCGGAUUGUACAGUUCUCAGAUUAUUUAUGGUAAAAAAGGGGCAGGCAAAGGGCAGGCAGGGUUUGUGAUCAGGUCAGAGUCAGGCAGGUACAGGACGGCAGGCAAGCUCGGGGUCAGGGCAAGAUGAAUAGUCGGAACCGGGGAAAACUAGAAAACAGAACUUGAGAAAAUGGAAGACGGGAAAGCACGCUUGUAAGACCUGACAAGACGAACUGGCAACAGACAGGGACCACAGGUAUAAAUACACAGGGGAUAAUGGGAAGAUAGGCAACACCUGGAGGGGGUGGAGACAAGCACAAAGACAGGUGAAACAGAUCAGGGUGUGACAGAUAAAGUAAAACACGGUGAGUUGACCUCAUAGGUUACUUUACCGUUUUUGACAAUUGCUUACACAUGAUUUCUGGAACUAUGGCUC